rnacentral:tRNA from 1 species
GUCCUGGUAGCUCAGCUGGAUAGAGCAGCCCCCUCCUAAGGGGCAGGUCCGGGGUUCGACUCCCUGCCAGGACGCCA